GAUGAAGAACGUAGCGAAAUGCGAUAAGUAAUGUGAAUUGCAGAAUUCAGUGAAUCAUCGAAUCUUUGAACGCACAAUGCGCCCCCUGGUAUUCCGGGGGGCAUGCCUGUUCGAGCGUCAUUACAACCCUCAAGCUCUGCUUGGUAUUGGGCCCCGCCAGUUCUGGCGGGCCCUAAAGUCAGUGGCGGUGCCUUCCGGCUCCGAGCGUAGUAAUUCUUCUCGCUCUGGAGACCCGGUUGUGUGCUUGCCAACAACCCCCAAUUUUUUAAGGUUGACCUCGGAUCAGGUAGGGAUACCCGCUGAACUUAAGCAUAUCAAUAAGCGGAGGA
rnacentral:misc_RNA from 1 species